rnacentral:lncRNA from 1 species
AGAAUUCAGAAGCAAAAGGUAAGGAAACACGCCGCAUAAGCACUAGGAUGUGUAUUGUAAUUUGUCAAUUUCAUAUGGUAGUAAUAGCACGGGAUAGCCACUUUUCAGCUCAUUUAAUUGCAAAAAGACCACUGUCAUGGAGUUUCAAAUUCAACAGGUGAAACUACACGACAGUUUGGACUCUAUGACAGUGACUAUUUUUCAAUUACCGGCGCUGAAAUGUAGCUAUUUGUGAAUCUUAUCUUUUCAUAUGCAAAACAAAUAACACAAAGAAGUCAACUAGAGGAAUCCCCAGGAAUUCUCACUCAAAGCACCUCCACAGCAAAAUUCCAUGGAUAGCUAUCCAGAAUCCAUGGCGAAGCUUCCUUACAAAUGUGAUUUGAAGGAGAGUAAAACCAAGUAAUUGUCACGUAAUUUGGCGCAAACCUGAAAAGAAGCUUCUUGCAAUUGUUAUUUUAAGCAACACUUCUUUUCUUUUUGGGCUGCUUUCUCUUGAUGCUGCUGUAUUUCAACAACAAAGUAUGCAUUGCCAGUGGGCUUCUUUUAAAAAGCUGUUAUCUAUAUGAGUUUCAAACAAUACAAUUAUUACAGCUCUAGUUGCGCUAAAGUAAGCUUUGCAUGCCCACAGGACAGUGAGUCAGUGAGAGAAGAUACAGCAUUACAGCUCUAGUUGCGCUAACGUAAGCUUCGCAUGCCCACAGGACAGUGAGUCAGUGAGAGAAGACCUUCUUCCACUUCUCUGCCUAGCAAUGCAGAGGAGAAGCUCUAAAUUAAUUAGGAAUUAGUAAUACUAUCAUAUGGCAGAAAGUGGUUGAGGUUUCAGUCAACAGGAAAAAAGGAGAAUUGAAUAUGCUGUAGUGACUGAGAUAUGCAUUCAUACAAUCAAUAAUUCAGGGCGAGGAAGCUAAGAAAUUUCUGCUAUUUCCUUCAACAUUUACAACAAGCAUCUCGGCGCAAGGAAAUGGAAUGUUCUCUGUUCUUAGUUUUCAUUGAUUUCUACGACAGUAACACAGAAAAAGAAUUGGUCUAAUAUGAAUAUCUUCUUAGCACCUAUUUCUAAUGCAUAAACACCCUGAGCAUCUCAUUCAUAACAGGUAGCAUGUAGUUCUCUGGACACUUUGGUUCAGACCAUGACAGGAUAGUGUAUUAAAGACCUAGCUUACAUAAAAACCAAUGUUCUAGUAAAUCAGGUCAAUAUCUGACAGUUAUCACAAUGAUAUAAUUGAAAUUAGGUUCCAUUACUACAAUAUAACAAACAUAAGACGUGUUAACUAAGAGAAGCCAUUGUUACCAAUAGUCCAAUACCAAUAGAGGCGCUUCACAGGAUUAAGAGAACAGAAGGCGUAGGCAGCUGCAUAACAUAGUACAACGACUGAAUAAUGUGAAGUAAUCUCCAAUUAGGAACAAACUGGAUAUCAUACGGAUGAUGAGUCCGUUUAGAUGAUGGUUAAGUUACACUAACAUAUUUGGACACAUAAGCUGAUUUUAUGAGGUAUACUUCAGGCGAAACAUCAGGUUCUCUUUUACUUUUGACAUCUAUGGACUAUCUCAUUCUCCCAGAAGUGUGCAUUACUUAUAGCUUGUUGGCCAAGCUUCUAGAAAUCCAAAAGUACUUUUUUUAAUUAAGAAAAGUGCAUAUUUUAGAGAGUUGAGGUGUUUCAGGAAAAAAAAUAAUAACUUUUGCGUAGUAGCAGAAGCUACUUUUUAGAAACUGAAAAGAAUAUCCUUUCCCCGGAAGCACUUUAGGAAACUUGGCCAAGUCCAAAUUGUUGUGCAAUAUUGGCAAAAUU